rnacentral:ncRNA from 1 species
CUUUACAGAAGUUCCAUAAGUAAGAGGCUUAGGACGCUGUACAAGACCUUUACCAAAGGUUCUUGCUCCCACUACCACUGCUCUAUCAUAAUCUUGUAAACCACCAGAUACAAUUUCAGAUGCAGAGGCAGAUCUACCGUUUACGAGCACUACGAGUGGUAUUUCAAUAUCCACCGGUUCUUGCUGGGUUACAUAGGUUUUAUUAUACUUUUUUACAACAGACUUUGUCGUAGUAAUAAGAGAUCCUUUAGGUAAAAAUAGAUUACAGAUAUUGAUAGCUUCACUUAGUAAUCCACCACCAUUACCACGUA